rnacentral:rRNA from 1 species
UGAGGAAUAUUGCGCAAUGGGGGAAACCCUGACGCAGCGAUGCCGCGUGAGUGAAGAAGGCCUUCGGGUCGUAAAGCUCUGUCAAACGGGAAGAACAGUCCGGGGACGAAUAAUCUCCGGGCCUGACGGUACCGUUGAAGGAAGCACCGGCUAACUCCGUGCCAGCAGCCGCGGUAAGACGGAGGGUGCGAGCGUUAUUCGGAUUUAUUGGGCGUAAAGAGUGUGUAGGCGGUCGAUCAAGUCUGAUGUGAAAGCCCGGGGCUUAACCUCGGGAGGGCGUUGGAAACUGGUCGACUUGAGUUCGGGAGAGGAAAGCGGAAUUCCGGGUGUAGAGGUGAAAUUCGUAGAUAUCCGGAGGAACACCGGUGGCGAAGGCGGCUUUCUGGACCGAAACUGACGCUGAGACACGAAAGCGUGGGGAGCAAACAGG